AGUGAACGCUGGCGGCAUGCCUAACACAUGCAAGUCGAACGGCAGCACAGUAAGAGCUUGCUCUUACGGGUGGCGAGUGGCGGACGGGUGAGGUAUACAUCGGAAUCUAUUUUUUCGUGGGGGAUAACGUAGGGAAACUUACGAUUAUACCGCAUACGACCUACGGGUGAAGGCAGGAGAUCUUCGGAUCUUGCGCGAUUGAAUGACCCGAUGUCGGAUUAGCUAGUUGGCGGGGUAAAGGCUCACCAAGGCGACGAUCCGUAGCUGGUCUGAGAGGAUGAUCCGCCACACUGGGACUGAGACACGGUCCAGACUCCUACGGGAGGCAGCAGUGGGGAAUAUUGGACAAUGGGCGCAAGCCUGAUCCAGCCAUGCCGCGUGGGUGAAGAAGGCCUUCGGGUUGUAAAGCCCUUUUGUGGGGGAAGAAAAGCAGCAGGUUAAUACCCCGCUGUUCUGACGGUACCCGAAGAAUAAGCACCGGCUAACUACGUG
rnacentral:rRNA from 1 species